AGUGAACGCUGGCGAUAGGCCUAACACAUGCAAGUCGAACGGCAGCACAGUAAGAGCUUGCUCUUACGGGUGGCGAGUGGCGGGCGGGUGAGGAAUACAUCGGAAUCUACUUUUUCGUGGGGGAUAACGUAGGGAAACUUACGCUAAUACCGCAUACGACCUACGGGUGAAAGCAGGGGAUCUUCGGACCUUGCGCGAUUGAAUGAGCCGAUGUCGGAUUAGCUAGUUGGCGGGGUAAAGGCCCACCAAGGCGACGAUCCGUAGCUGGUCUGAGAGGAUGAUCAGCCACACUGGAACUGAGGCACGGUCCAGACUCCUACGGGAGGCAGCAGUGGGGAAUAUUGGACAAUGGGCGCAAGCCUGAUCCAGCCAUACCGCGUGGGUGAAGAAGGCCUUCGGGUUGUAAAGCCCUUUUGUUGGGAAAGAAAAGCAGCAGGUUAAUACCCCGCUGUUCUGACGGUACCCAAAGAAUAAGCACCGGCUAACUUCGUG
rnacentral:rRNA from 1 species